AGCAAAACAAAUGACCUGAAUAGUGCCUGCACAUUUUGCCUCACAUCUCAGGUUUGACUAGAAAAAAAUCAAGGGAAUCCAUGUGCAGGUGGAGAUAUGUGAUUAACCCUUUCCCCACCUAUUUUUCCUCUUGUCACCUGCAGAUGCUUUUCACGGAGACAAGAUCCUCAGGUUUGUGCAUGCUGCAUGAGGUUGCAAAAGGUGACUGGGAGGUUAUUGCAGAGAGGAAAGGAAGGAAGAGUAAAGCAGCAAUUAUCAAGCCAGAUAUUGUCUAACUAUUCUGACAGGUAGUAGCUCCCUGAAAUAUCAAACAGAGGUCUUCAUAUCAGCCGCUACCUGAUCGUUUUAACAGGAGACGCUAGAGAUUGAACCCGGAAUCUUCGGCAUGCAAAGCUUGUGGUCUACCAUUAGGCUACAGUUCCUUCUCUCUUCGAGUUAAAGGUUUGGCUAGAGUUAACCGGGAAUUCUUCUCAUUACUGUUCACUGUCUUCCGAAGAAGCUGAGAGCAUGCUGAAUUUCUCAAAUGAAAGCCUUUGAACUUUACAUAGCACUGAAAGAUCAUUUUAAAACUAUUUCUCAUUUCAGAAGAAUAAAUCUCACUUAUUCCUGCCUGAGAUGACUGCCACUUGCAAACCUUGUACCACUAACAUUUAUCCUCCUAACAGUAACAUUAUAAAAUAAGAUGUAUAUUAGCAGUUGGCUCAGUUCUGGAGCACAGAAGCAGCUAUUCCACUGAACCGUAACUCACAUUAUGAUGAGCCCUUCUAACAUUUUGAAGGGCCUGUUUCAUGAUUCCAGGUGUAUUUUUAAAAUGCCCAAAUUUUAAAAUUACAUUUCCAGAAUACUCCAUCCAGUUUAAGGAAUACAGCUUACAGGUCACAAGACUGGGUGGACUUAUUUUGCUCUACCAAAAUUCCCAUUCUGCUGCAGCACAGCACUCCAGGAAAGCUUGAAGCUUCAGUAAAGCUCCCUGCGUGCCAAUUUCACACAAAAAACAAAGGGGUGGUGUUCCUGGCCUAUUAAACUGCAUAUGGGGCCACUUGAUUCAAUGCACUCAGGCUCUCUGUUAGGAAUGGAGUAGAAUUUUGUCUGGUUCACAUUUUUAGCAAACUGACCUAGAGUGAUAUCCAGUUAAGUCAUACUUACACUUCUUGAAUUGCGUGGCACAAUUUUUUAAUUUAAUUUUUAUUUUUAGGGGAGACAUUUGUAUCAUUUUGUACCAAAACUGCAGAAGCUGACAUAAACCACACCUGAUUUGAACACAUCUGAAACUGACACUAGAAAUACACUGAUUCACCCAUCCCUAAGUGUAUGUAUGUCCAUGUGUAUUUAUAGGUGUGUAUACUUACACAUACACACAUGAACUCUCUUAGCACAUAGAAACUAGGGAUCAAGGAGAAGGGCCUACAUUUCCGCCUAAUAUAUUGCACAUAAACACAUGCAUAUGCCUAAAGAUUGGCCUCCUGUUUUCCUUCAAAGGUGUCACCAACAAUUCAGAUCACAUCCUGUCCCACAACAUAAAUAACUUUAAAACUGCCAAUGGUGAGAUUAAAGCAAAACAACAUUGAAAUAUUUACUCAGUGAAGUAGACACUCUUUGAAGAUCUAUGUUUUACACACAACCAUUAAAAGUUGUACCCAUAUUUGUGUCUCGUAUUUACCUCCCUCGCUCUACAGUUCAUACCGAAGCUACUAAUGCAUAUUGUUGCACUCAUGCUUAUAUGAAAGUCUACUUAUGAGGACAGAGUUGUAGGAAAGGCACCAGAUUCCAUAAUAAAAAUAGGCACUAUCAACUAAGUACAACUUCUGCAAAACAUCUACACAUUUAAAUGGUGUUCACAAUGAGGUUACAAAUGAAAAGUAGUUUGGUUUCAAACUACUUAAGAAUUUAUUCAGUUUAAUUCAGAUAAUAAACUGACCAGCUCCUGGACAGAAACUGAAACUAUCCCACCUUUUCACUUCUCUACUUUGUUAGGCAAUAUGUUCUAUAUAAAGCAUAAGCAUCAAUAUUAUCUGCUCAAACAGAAAUUGGAAAAUAGGCAAUAAGCACCAGACGAGUUAAAUGCUUAAUAAAGGACAGAUAUACAUAUAAUUUGAAAAAACAAACCUUAUGCUCUCCUAUUUAAUAGUAUAUUGUCACCUUCCCCAAUUGUUUAUUGCCACUUAAACAAAAAGAAAGUGCAAUACUUUCACUGAAGAGAUAAUUUAAAUUAUCUCAACAAUUACACAUAUUCACAAGAUACGGUACAGGCAGUGACCGGGCUAUAUUUUAAGGUACCUCAGAUUAGAAAGUUUUUUGUGUAGCCGGCUGAAUUCUCUUUAUAAAGCCUUUUAAACUACACUUAAAGAGCACAUAUUACAAUUCCACUUGAAAAUUCCCUCAGAGAACUCUUACCUGUGAGCAGCAGCUGAUUUAAACAACAAUGUGAGAGCCUCUUCCCAUUUCCCUUUUUAGGACAAAUUUAUUCCCCUUUCAGUUCAGUACCUCUAUGUUCUCUGCUGACCUAAUUUUGUCUGUGAUAAAUGCCAGAGUUCGACUGGAGUCACUUGAGCUGCUGCAAGAGAAGAAUGGAAGUCAAAAAUGAAUGCACUCAACAUUCCUCCUUGACAGAUUGCUUGUCAAGAGGCUAAAAGCCUUGGAAAGCUAUAGGUGAGGUAAAGCAUUAUAAUAGCCAUCCUUUAGAUUAAAUUGAAUUCCAGUUUUCAACUAAUUACUCCAGACUCCAAUAAUGAAGUUAAAGCUCAUUGAAACUGAAAGGUUCAGCAUUUUACUCAGGUCCCAUGCAUACGGUAUCAGACAGUAGCCUUUUAAGUCACUAGGAAAAGAUCCAUGGACGCAACAAAACCAAUCAAGCAUCAGACUCGGUCUUGGGUCAGACCCUACUUAAGUGGCCCUGGUCAACAAUCUGUGUCUGGAAGAUGUAGAAUAGGAGCAUGACCUUGAUAAUUCUUCUGAAUCUCUCAGUAGCCUUUGAUACAACUGAUUGUCUGAUUUUUACAGGAUGGUUGGUAGUGGAGGACAUCACUUUGUGACUGGAUUCAUGUGGUAUGGAUACUACUCAGCCACACAGGAAUCAACUUGUAGAAUAUAACAAGAAUUCAGUCUUUUCGCCGGAAAAAGACUGCAUGACUAUGUAUUUAUUAUUUUCAUUUAUUUAUUCCAUCUUUCACCUAUCGUAGAAAUCAAGAAGGCAUCAGGUGAUUUCCCAUCCAGCCAUUGACAAGACCCAGCACUUCUUAGCUUCAGCAAAGAUACUGUGCCAUGUAACCUCAGAUGAUGUCCUAGUACACAAAGAUGAUGUCAUUUGUAUGCUGGUGGCAUUCAGCUUUGUUUUGCUUUGUAAUGUGACUGUGGUAUAGUGCCAAUCCCUGAGUGUCAGUAGUCAGAGGAGCUCAGUCUACACUCGAGUAGGAUCCUGGUAGAGACACAUGCCCGACUGGCAUGUUCUCUCCCUCCUGGUCAAUCCUUUGGGAGCUUCAAAAGCUUUCUUCAGCCUGAACAUCACCGCGACCGAUGCCAACAGACAUUGGCACACUUGAUCCGCAGAGUUUGUGCAUCAUGCGUAACAGACCUCAGCAACUCAGCAUUUUGACUAAUCUACUUUAUUUACAUAUAAACACACAUGGAGCACUGCAACAUGGCUCCCUCUCUCUCUAGCAUCAGACAGCAUAGAGAAAAGGGACAAAGGACAACAGUCCCAAUUCACGGAACACAGUAACACAAACAUCCUGUCUUCGUCACUUCCCACUCUGUGGAGUCAAAACAUAUACCAUCAUGUGAAAGACAAUAAUCCCAUGACUGCAAUCACAGAACAGGAAUUCUAACAAGUAUCUACACACAGUUAUGGGUGCAGUAUGAAGAAUACAUCGAAGCUGAAUCCUGACAUGGCAAACUGUUGGCAAAAAUAUAUUACUUGGUGUGAAGGGAUAUCUGUUCGUUACACGGUCACAAUCCCUUUCAUCAAAGGAUGAAAAGAAAUUUACUUAGCAUAAAAGACCCUUUACAUAGGAAAGAAUGCAAAUGCAGAAUAAUGAAAUAAGUCCAAUCAAGAGUAGUCCCAUCCACCAACUGUGUGCAGCCCUCAGAAAUGGGGCUUUCAUGGUUACAAAGGUCCCCCACUCUUUCCCUAGAGUGCAAGUGCACAGGUUGGUAGAAAAUGGCUUGGUUCUAUAUCCAUGUUUCAGGCGGCAAUGAAUGCAACAUUUCUCAAAAUAAUAAAAAUCACCAAAUUAUAAACUGACAAAGAAAAGACUGCAUAUGCAGCAAAAUAUUUCCAUAUCAAACUUGAUAAAAUCCCACACACUCUUAAAGGCAAAUUUGUGGAGACUUUAAAAUGUCAAUAUUUAACAAGACAUAUGAAACUUCACCUCCACUUUCAUAAGUGCUCAUUUCUAAAGAAAAUCAAUAUUUAAAUGUAUUACAGAGCAAUAAAACAUUGGCAGUGAGACUGCAAACAGUUAUUAAAAUGGGCAUAUCCAUUAAACUGUGGGUAGAGUCAUGUAAUAAAGAUAUUUUUGAAUU
rnacentral:lncRNA from 1 species